rnacentral:rRNA from 1 species
UACGUAGGCAGCGAGCGUUGUUCGGAGUUACUGGGCGUAAAGGGUGUGUAGGCGGAGGCGUAAGUACCUUGUGAAAUCCCACGGCUCAACCGUGGAACUGCUUGGUAUACUGCGUCUCUUGAGCCAACUAGGGGCUAUCGGAACAAGUGGUGGAGCGGUGAAAUGCGUAGAUAUCACUUGGAACGCCAAGGGGGAAAACAGAUAGCUGGGGUUGUGCUGACGCUGAGACACGAAAGCCAGGGGAGCAAACGGG